rnacentral:lncRNA from 1 species
AGAUCAAGUAUAUAGACGAAAGGAAUCAACCAGCCAAUGGUAGUAACAGAUCAAGUCUGAUCUGCUCGGUGACCACCCACUUCAAAGUCCAAAAUUCGAGGAACUACCAGAACUAUUUUAAUGAAAUGAAAAGCAUAAGUAUUGCCUAGAAAUUUUAUUAAUAACUCAUAGUAGUUCAACAAAUAGUUUAGGAAUUAUCGUUUUAUUUAAGGUACCAAAGUCCAAAGGCAAAAUCUGAUCUACCAGGUGACCACUCAUUUCACAACAGCGAAAACCUGAGGCACUUUCACCAUUUUAUACAGAAACUUAAUAAGAUGUCCUUUUAUCAAGCCAAGGUGCAUUCGCCAUUUUAUCCGGAAGAUUUUUCGCAAAAACAAAACCUGAUAUAUGUAACCAUUUUCACAUGAAACAAGACACAUUUCAGAAAAUUAUUGUCUAGACAUUCUAUUAAUAGCUUACAAGAAGUACUAUUAAAAUAUUUCUUAUUUAUCGUUUUUUUUAGACAGUAAAGUCAAAGGACGAAGUCAAGGUGACCACUCACUUCCAGAGUCUACAUGAGGCACUUUCACCAUUUUAUACGGAAAUUUAGUAAGAACUCCUUUAACCAAGCAAAGGCGCAUUCGCCAUUUUGUCCUGAAAUUCUGAAAUGUAACCAUUUUCAUUAAACGAAAAGCAUCAGACAGUAAAUUCAAGGGACAAAAUCUGAUCUAUCAGGUUAGAGCCCACCCAUAUGAAGCACCUUCACCAUUUUAUACAGAAACUUAGUAAGAACUCCAUCAACCAAGUAAAGGCGCAUUCGCCAUUUUAUCCGGAAAUUUUUUCAAAAGGAUAAAACCAUGAUAUGGUAAAGUCAAAGGAUAAACUCACUUCAAAGGCUAAUAUCUCAAGAACCACUAGGACGAUU